rnacentral:rRNA from 1 species
CAGCAUGGCCUUUACUUAUCCUGGGCGUACACACACGCUACAAUGGGAAGGGACAAUAGGUUGCGAAGCCGCGAGGCGGAGCCAAUCCAGCAAAACUUCCCUCAGUUCAGAUUGCAGGCUGCAACUCGCCUGCAUGAAGUUGGAGCUGCUAGUAAACGCAGGUCAGCCAUACUGCGUUGAAUACGUUCCCGGGGCUU